rnacentral:rRNA from 1 species
AGUGAACGCUGGCGGUAGGCCUAACACAUGCAAGUCGAACGGCAGCACAGUAAGAGCUUGCUCUUACGGGUGGCGAGUGGCGGACGGGUGCGGAAUACAUCGGAAUCUACUUUUUCGUGGGGGCUAACGUAGGGAAACUUACGCUAAUACCGCAUACGACCUACGGGUGAAAGCAGGGGAUCUUCGGACCUUGCGCGAUUGAAUGAGCCGAUGUAGGAUUAGCUAGUUGGCGGGGUAAAGGCCCACCAAGGCGACGAUCCGUAGCUGGUCUGAGAGGAUGAUCAGCCACACUGGAACUGAGACACGGUCCAGACUCCGACGGGAGGCAGCAGUGGGGAAUAUUGGACAAUGGGCGCAAGCCUGAUCCAGCCAUACCGCGUGGGUGAAGAAGGCCUUCGGGUUGUAAAGCCCUUUUGUUGGGAAAGAAAAGCAGCAGGUUAAUACCCCGCUGUUCUGACGGUACCCAAAGAAUAAGCACCGGCUAACUUCGUG